rnacentral:rRNA from 1 species
ACCCGCUGAACUUAAGCAUAUCAAUAAGCGGAGGAAAAGAAACCAACAGGGAUUGCCCUAGUAACGGCGAGUGAAGCGGCAACAGCUCAAAUUUGAAAUCUGGCUCUUUUAGGGUCCGAGUUGUAAUUUGCAGAGGGCGCUUUGGCGUUGGCAGCGGUCCAAGUUCUUUGGAACAGGACGUCACAGAGGGUGAGAAUCCCGUACGUGGUCGCUAUCCUUCGCCGUGUAAAGCCCCUUCGACGAGUCGAGUUGUUUGGGAAUGCAGCUCUAAAUGGGAGGUAAAUUUCUUCUAAAGCUAAAUACUGGCCAGAGACCGAUAGCGCACAAGUAGAGUGAUCGAAAGAUGAAAAGCACUUUGGAAAGAGAGUCAAAUAGCACGUGAAAUUGUUGAAAGGGAAGCGCUUGCAGCCAGACUUGCCUGUAGUUGCUUAUCUGGACUUUUGUCCGGUGCACUCUUCUGCGGGCAGGCCAGCAUCAGUUUGGGCGGUUGGAUAAAGGUCUCUGUCAUGUACCUCCUUUCGGGGAGGCCUUAUAGGGGAGACGACACGCAACCAGCCUGGACUGAGGUCCGCGCAUCUGCUAGGAUGCUGGCGUAAUGGCUGU